CCUACGGGUGGCAGCAGUGAGGAAUAUUGGUCAAUGGGCGCGAGCCUGAACCAGCCAAGUCGCGUGAGGGAUGACGGCCCUACGGGUUGUAAACCUCUUUUGCCGGGGAGCAACGGGCGCCACGUGUGGCGCCACUGAGAGUACCCGGAGAAAAAGCAUCGGCUAACUCCGUGCCAGCAGCCGCGGUAAUACGGAGGAUGCGAGCGUUAUCCGGAUUUAUUGGGUUUAAAGGGUGCGUAGGCGGAUCGUUAAGUCAGUGGUCAAAUUGAGGGGCUCAACCCCUUCCCGCCAUUGAAACUGGCGCUCUUGAGUGGAAGAGAAGUAUGCGGAAUGCGUGGUGUAGCGGUGAAAUGCAUAGAUAUCACGCAGAACCCCGAUUGCGAAGGCAGCUUACCAAGCUACUUCUGACGUUGAGGCACGAAAGCGUGGGGAGCAAACAGGAUUAGAUACCCCAGUAGUC
rnacentral:rRNA from 1 species